CUUUUACUUCACUCCUCAAAACUCCCUCCAAAUUCCAAAGUACCCUGCAUACAGGUGACAGAUCCCACCACCGUCCACCACUGAACCGGCCAUCGAACCCCGGUUCCACCAAACCCACGGCAAAUGGCAUCGACCUCAGCUUCGCGUCACGGUGGCGCUGCCGGAAGAAUAAAAAACGCAGCCACAACCCUCUCCGCUGAAAGCCAGUCUCUCGUUGCUGAAAUUCGGAAGGCUUUGCAUAUGAUGACGGAAAUCGCAGUUGAGUUCGAGAAAGAUAAUGAAUCUGCAAAGGUAAAAGACCUUGAAAAUGCUGUUGCUGAGUUGGUGGAGGCUUAUGAAAAUUGUGCAAGUUAUGUUGCAGCAAUUGAAUCUGUUGGAAAUAUAUACCAGCCUGGAGCAGAGUUAACUGAUUUCAAGAAGUUGCUUGAGGAUGAAUUUGAGAAGCUUUGGUCUAGUUCAUCUUCUUCUUCACAAAAUCAUCAACUGAUACGUAAAUUUAGAGGAGCUGUCUGGAAUGUUCACCAUUUAGGGCAGCCAAUGCCAGGAGAAGAGCAAGAGGACAUUGUAAUGACAAGUACCCAAUCUAGCCUUUUGAAUAUCAUUUGCCCAUUAAGUGGAAAGCCUGUUACUGAAUUAGCAGAGCCAGUUCGCAGUGUGCUAUGCAAGCAUAUUUACGAGAAGAAGGCAAUCAUGCUUUACAUAGCAUCCGAAAGAGGACAACCAAAAUGCCCCAUAGCAGGUUGCCCUAAGAUUUUGCAGGCAGAAAAAGUAGUGUGUGAUCCGUUGUUAGUUGUUGAAAUUGAGGAAAUGAGAUGUACGAGUAGACAAACUGCUAGGGCUAAUGUGGUAGAAGAUUUCACAGAGCUUGAUGAAGAGGAAGACAACUGAUAAAGAGUUAUCAGAAAUUAAUCAUAGUUGAUCACUACAACCUUGUUUUCUACAAUUCAAUAUCCAUUGUAUAUGUGCUACUUUUUAGGUACGAUAGGACAAUUGAGACUGAAACAAUAUUAUUGUCCUGUGUAGUUGAGAAUUGUCUCUUCCUAUCAUAUUCUCUAAGGCGUUCAAAUUAAUAAUUAUUUGAAACAAUUUCACAAUUUAGCUAAUUUCUUUACAUUUUUAAUCUAAAAUUUAUAACUUAGAAUUUCUAUGUUCCU
rnacentral:misc_RNA from 1 species